UCUUACUGAGUUAUUCCUGGAAUAAGGAUGACACUGGGACACAAUGUUGGUUCAAGUUUCUAUUUCUUGAAAAACAAGGAAGAGAACUAGAGAGAAGACAGGAGAAGAGGAAGGGACUGGGGAAGGGAGACAGGAGAAGGACAGUGGAGGGAGUCAGGAAGUGUGGGGAGGAGCUGUCAGGCUUGAAAGCCUCCCUAGGAGCUCAAUUCUCACAGGGUAAAUUUAGUAACUGCUAAUUAUUUAGAGUCAGUGACUUGAGUGGUUAAAGAACAGGGUGCAAGGACAGAGAAGAACAGAGGAUAAAUCUCCAGCUGGAGUUGACACAGAACCGGCCUACAGAGAACAGCACAGUUCAUCCGUCACGCCUCCUUCUGCUCUGAGCACGGGCAAGGGGAAGGUUCAGGGUCGCGUCCUGACACUCUCGGUGGACAGAGCACCUCAAGGGGAGGGUGAUACACUGAAUCUGUUCCUGGAAGGUGGAUGCAGAACAACUUCAUCCCUUUCUUCUAAGGAGUGAUACACUGAUGCUGUUCCUGGAAGGUGGGUGCAGAGAUGACUGUAUUUAUCCCGAGUUAAAAUGAAGAUGGAACAAAGUGCAUGCAGAAAAUGGCACUGGGAUACAAACAAGUCAGUUAUCCAGGAGAGAACUUUUACCUGCCUGUCUCCCUGACUCAGAGAAGACAAGGCUGCCUUACCUGAGGACUCUCUGGAGAGCUAAAUGGAAAUAUAGAACAACAAUGCAAAUAGAUUGAGGAGAAAAUGAAACCAUCAAAGUCAUAACAACACGGCUGCUUAUGGAGUAUCUGGAUACAGACACGCCCUUUGAUAAAAGAUAUUUCAGUAUGUCAUGUGGUCAGUGAAAGCCUGGAUGUUUCUAGAAUGAAAUUAAAUUACAUAGCUUACAAAGA